UCGGGAAUAUUGCGCAAUGGAGGAAACUCUGACGCAGUGACGCCGCGUAUAGGAAGAAGUUUUUCGGAAUGUAAACUAUUGUCGUUAGGGAAGAGAAAGGACAGUACCUAAGGAGGAAGCUCCGGCUAACUACGUGCCAGCAGCCGCGGUAAUACGUAGGGAGCGAGCGUUAUCCGGAUUUAUUGGGUGUAAAGGGUGCGUAGACGGGAAAACAAGUUAGUUGUGAAAUCCCUCGGCUUAACUGAGGAACUGCAACUAAAACUAUUUUUCUUGAGUGCAGGAGAGGUAAGUGGAAUUCCUAGU
rnacentral:rRNA from 1 species